AGAGGAAGCCUAAAAAACGGCUACCACAUCAAAGAAAGGCAACAGGCGCGCAAAUUACCCACUCCCGGCACGGGGAGGUAGUGCGAAAAAUAACAAAACGGGACUCAUCCGAGGCCCCGUAAUCGGAAUGAGUACACUUUAAAUCCUUUAACGAGUACCAAUUGGAGGGCAAGUCUGGUGCCAGCAGCCGCGGUAAUUCCAGCUCCAAUAGAGUAUAUUAGAGUUGUUGCGGUUAAAAAGCUCGUAGUUGGAUCUGUGUCUAACGGCGUCGGUUCACCGCUCGCGGUGUAACUGGCGCGCCGGUUGGACGUCCUGCCGGUGGCGGUCCGGGCUUUCGGGCAUGUGUAGGUGUUACUAACUCCGAAGCAUCCCGAUUGUUCCGGCCGCCGAUCCAAUCCCGCCGCGGUGCUCUUAACUGAGUGUCGAGGUGGGCCGGCACGUUUACUUUGAACAAAUUAGAGUGCUUAAAGCAGGCUGAUUUACGCCUGAAUACUGUGUGCAUGGAAUAAUGGAAUAGGACUUCGGUUCUAUUUUGUUGGUUUUAAGAAUCCGAAGUAAUGAUUAAUAGGGACAGGCGGGGGCAUUCGUAUUGCGACGUUAGAGGUGAAAUUCUUGGAUCGUCGCAAGACGUACCUAAGCGAAAGCAUUUGCCAAGUAUGUCCUCGUUAAUCAAGAACGAAAGUUAGAGGUUCGAAGGCGAUCAGAUACCGCCCUAGUUCUAACCAUAAACGAUGCCAGCCAGCGAUCCGCCAAUGUUUCUCCGAUGACUUGGCGGGCAGCUUCCGGGAAACCAAAGCUUUUGGGUUCCGGGGGAAGUAUGGUUGCAAAGCUGAAACUUAAAGGAAUUGACGGAAGGGCACCACCAGGAGUGGAGCCUGCGGCUUAAUUUGACUCAACACGGGAAACCUCACCAGGCCCGGACACUGGAAGGAUUGACAGAUUGAUAGCUCUUUCUUGAUUCAGUGGGUGGUGGUGCAUGGCCGUUCUUAGUUGGUGGAGCGAUUUGUCUGGUUAAUUCCGAUAACGAACGAGACUCUAGCCUAUUAACUAGGCGUUCCCGGUAUCCACAAUAGUGCUACCGGCGAAUAAAUUUCUUCUUAAAGGGACAGGCGGCUUCUAGCCGCACGAGACUGAGCAAUAACAGGUCUGUGAUGCCCUUAGAUGUCCUGGGCCGCACGCGCGCUACACUGAAGGAAUCAGCGUGUCUCCCCUGGCCGAAAGGUCCGGGUAACCCGUUGAACCUCCUUCGUGCUAGGGAUUGGGGCUUGCAAUUGUUCCCCAUGAACGAGGAAUUCCCAGUAAGCGCGAGUCAUAAGCUCGCGUUGAUUACGUCCCUGCCCUUUGUACACACCGCCCGUCGCUACUACCGAUUGAAUGAUUUAGUGAGGUCUUCGGACUGGUGCGCGGUGGCCGCCUCGUGUGGUCACCGAUGUUGCCGGGAAGAUGACCAAACUUGAUCAUUUAGAGGAAGUAAAAGUCGUAAC
rnacentral:rRNA from 1 species